AUUGAACGCUGGCGGCAGGCCUAACACAUGCAAGUCGAGCGAGCGGCGGACGGGUGAGUAAUGUCUGGGAAACUGCCUGAUGGAGGGGGAUAACUACUUGAAACGGUAGCUAAUACCGCAUCCCAUCAGAUGUGCCCCGAUGGGAUUAGCUAGUAGGUGGGGUAACGGCUCACCUAGGAGACGAUCCCUAGCUGGUCUGAGAGGAUGACCAGCCACACUGGAACGGAGACACGGGCCAGAUGCCUACGUGAGGCAGCAGUGGGGAAUAGUGCACAAUGGGAGAAAGCCUGAUGCAGCCAUGCCGCGUGUAUUAAGAAGGCCUUCGGGUUGUAAAGUACGUUCAGCGGGGAGGCGUUACCCGCAGAAGAAGCACCGGCUAACUCCGUGCCAGCAGCCGCGGUAAUUC
rnacentral:rRNA from 1 species